rnacentral:rRNA from 1 species
UACGUAGGGUGCGAGCGUUAAUCGGAAUUACUGGGCGUAAAGCGUGCGCAGGCGGUAAGUUAAGUCUGAUGUGAAAGCCCCGGGCUCAACCUGGGAAUGGCAUUGGAAACUGGCUUGCUAGAGUGUGGCAGAGGGGGGUGGAAUUCCGCGUGUAGCAGUGAAAUGCGUAGAGAUCGGGAGGAACAUCUGUGGCGAAGGCGACUGCCUGGACCAGCACUGACACUGAGGCACGAAAGCGUGGGGAGCAAACAGG